rnacentral:misc_RNA from 1 species
CCGGCUGGCUCCGUGCCCGUCCACCGAACGGUCGGCAGGCGAUCCGCGUCGGUCGCGCGAGGUGGUAUGGUUACCCGGAGGCUGGUUCUUGUGUUGCCUACCCUUCAAGGGAAGCGCUCCACUCGAUGUAGGCCUCCAUCCGGCGCCUUCAAACGGGCGCAGGAGGACAACGGAGCACCCCCCGCGUUCCACCGAGCCGUCGUCGGUCGGGUGGCCCGCGGGGACGUGCGAUGCUCUCGGACCCGGCGCACGCCGUGGGCGAGGACUCACGUCCCAGUCCCAAGAGAAGCUUCGGUACAAUGUUGACGGCCGCUCCCGCCCCCAGACCGCCCCGGCGGUGUGAGGGCGCGGCGCGGCGUCGCGGAGGAAUGCUACCU